UACGGGGGGAGCAAGCGUUGUUCGGAUUUACUGGGCGUAAAGGGUCCGUAGGCGGAUCUGUAAGUCAGUGGUGAAAUCUCAUAGCUUAACUAUGAAACUGCCAUUGAUACUGCAGGUCUUGAGUAAGGUAGAAGUAGCUGGAAUAAGUAGUGUAGCGGUGAAAUGCAUAGAUAUUACUUAGAACACCAAUUGCGAAGGCAGGUUACUAUGUCUUAACUGACGCUGAUGGACGAAAGCGUGGGGAGCGAACAGG
rnacentral:rRNA from 1 species